rnacentral:lncRNA from 1 species
GAGCUGCGCUGCCCGGGCGCCUCCGAAAACGAGCAAAGGAUUCACGCGUGACCGGGCUACGUGCCAAGAGUACUGGACCCGGAGGUUGCAGAACCGGAGCCGAAGAUAUGACUAGAUCAGGCGGCACUCACCGAGUGCGCACACCUUGGUGGGCGGUGAGUGAGGAGACAAGAGAUGCUGCUGGCGAUCGUGAGGUCGUAGGAGUGCACCGCGUCCAGACGCCUGGAUCCACUGCCCACCGCCGCCCCCACCCUCCGUGAACAGCUGACCCGUCCCUAGCCACGUGGGUGGCCCCCACUCCCCAAACAGGUCGGAUUCUGAGUUCCAGCCGGUCCUUCUAACUGGUUUCAAGUACAGGUUUAUUCAAAGACAGAGAACCCCUCUAGGGCGCGGUCCAACCAAGACGGGUGUGUCUGGCGGUGCUCCCUCCUGCCGUGUUCUGCUGACCCCUGGCGGUCGAGCAGGCCAAGGAACCAUUAGGUCUGGCCCUCCCCAGUCCACAGUCAUCCUGUCUAUCCAGCCAAAGACAGGAGUGCUCCCGUGGGCAGCUCUGACACUUAAGGACUUUGUAGAGCAGGGAACCAGAAGCUGGCCUCUUAGGUCAAAUGUCCAGGAAAGAGAUCCAAGAGACCAAGAGAGUUAUCAGGGGGUACCCGGGAGUAUGUUCUUGCAGGUGAUUAGAUGAGUCGGUAAAGCUUGGGUAUCGUGAAAGAUGACAAAGAUUCUGGGCUGCUGAAGGCAGUCCACAGCGCUGUCGUAGCGAAGCACCUGACCGGAGACCCUCAAAGGAGGUGCCUUCAGACCGCGGGAACCCUGUCCAUAGUCACCCGUCAGCACCUGUGCCACAAACACUGCCUUGUAGCCUUCUGCGUUGGGAGGCGAGUAGCGAUCCAGUACCGACAGAGAGGCACGCUUGGCGAAGUACACGCCCUGUCCGUAGAGUGUGCCUACAGGGCAGGACAGGUGAGUCAAUCACCAAGGUGAGGGUCUUCGGGGUUAGCAUGGCUGGCCCACCUCCCUGCCCGGCACAGGCCUUACCGUUUCGGCCACAGAAACUGCGAUUGAAGCCGUGCGCACAGAUGUCGAGCACUGCAGACUCUGAAGUGCCAUGGUAGAGGACCUGCUCCACUGGGCGUUGCUGGCAGCUCUGCAUUAAACGCUCCCGGUGCAGCUGGUACUGUUGCUGCAGCAAUGGGUGUGACACGCGUUCUACCUGCCAAGUACAUGGUAGUUGAGGUGAAGUUAUUUGGAAUCUAUCCCUACAACAGCCAGGAGAAAGCUGAACUCAGCACUCUGGUGGAAGGAAGAAUUUAGGAUUUACAUGAAAACUUGAAAGCUCACCAUGCUGCUCUGUCUAGAGAAAUACAGUGACUGUCUCCAUGGGACGAGUGACACGGGAGGGCUAGCUUCCAGGAAGGCCUAACUCCUCCAGGGAGCCCUGCAGGUGGGUAGACCCCACCCCCACCCCACUCACCUAAAUUUAGGACCAACAAUCAGGCUUCAACAGUAAAAAGCCAAGCCAGGAGCCUGUAUUGCCUCUCAGCACUAGAAGGCUCAGACAGCAGAGAAGACCUCAGCCAACCAACCCCUGUUCCUGAAGGAAAAAAAAAAAAACUCAGGCUUUCAAACAGAGCUUUUAAAGAAAUGCUAACUGGCCUUUUAGGAGGCAGAUGAUUACCACAUCCAUAAAACAAAACUACCUGCUAUGAAAAAAUCUGGACAUCAGAAACAGGACAUUUAGGAUGAGAUUUCUAGGCUGGAGAUACAGUGGGGAGGACAGAGCGCUUGCUUAGCAAGUGGAAUGGAUCCCCAGGGUAAAAAAGGAAAGAGAAACACCGGGUGGUGGCUCACACCUUUAAUCUCAGCACUCCGGAGGCAGACGCAGGCAAAUCUCUUGAGUUUGAGGCCAGCCUGGUCUACAGAGGGAGUUCCGGAACAGCCAGGGCUAUACAGAGAAAUCCUGUCUCAAAAAAACCCAAUAGAUAGAUAGAUAGAUAGAUAGAUAGAUCUACACAGAGAAAUCCUGUCUAAAAAACAAUAGAUAGAUAGACAGACAGACAGACAGACAGACAGAUGAAAGGGAGGGGGAAUAGGAGAGAGGAAGAGAAGAAGAAAUAGCAGAGGAGGAGGAGAAGGAAAGGAUUGCUGAGCUAAUUCUGUUCAUGGACCAGAUAAUGAAGUGGUUAAAGCUACAGAUUCGACUAUGCGGUACUCUAGAUGGAUCUAAGAAACCGGUGCUGAGAACAGAGCUAAGAGAUGAGAGAGAGCAACCAUGAGAGGACAGGCAAGAACAUGAAGCAGGCGGGGACUAAGCUCUGCUUCCUAAGAAGGUGGUGCAGCUGGGAACAAAGUGGAAGACGUGUCCCUGAGCUGGAGGCCAUUAGCACCAGAUGGAGAGAACCAUGAAGUGCCAAGGACAUUGGGAAAGACAUGGCCCUGGCACCUAGCAGAAAACCAUAGCUU